UACAGAGGGUGCGAGCGUUGUUCGGAAUUAUUGGGCGUAAAGAGCUCGUAGGCGGCUUGUCACGUCGGGUGUGAAAGCCCGGGGCUUAACCCCGGGUCUGCAUUCGAUACGGGCUAGCUAGAGUGUGGUAGGGGAGAUCGGAAUUCCUGGUGUAGCGGUGAAAUGCGCAGAUAUCAGGAGGAACACCGAUGGCGAAGGCAGGUCUCUGGGCCACUACUGACGCUGAGACGCGAAAGCGUGGGGAGCGAACAGG
rnacentral:rRNA from 1 species